rnacentral:rRNA from 1 species
GGGGGGGGGCCUAUACUGCAAGUCGAGCGAUGGAUUAAGAGCUUGCUCUUAUGAAGUUAGCGGCGGACGGGUGAGUAACACGUGGGUAACCUGCCCAUAAGACUGGGAUAACUCCGGGAAACCGGGGCUAAUACCGGAUAACAUUUUGAACCGCAUGGUUCGAAAUUGAAAGGCGGCUUCGGCUGUCACUUAUGGAUGGACCCGCGUCGCAUUAGCUAGUUGGUGAGGUAACGGCUCACCAAGGCAACGAUGCGUAGCCGACCUGAGAGGGUGAUCGGCCACACUGGGACUGAGACACGGCCCAGACUCCUACGGGAGGCAGCAGUAGGGAAUCUUCCGCAAUGGACGAAAGUCUGACGGAGCAACGCCGCGUGAGUGAUGAAGGCUUUCGGGUCGUAAAACUCUGUUGUUAGGGAAGAACAAGUGCUAGUUGAAUAAGCUGGCACCUUGACGGUACCUAACCAGAAAGCCACGGCUAACUACGUGCCAGCAGCCGCGGUAAUACGUAGGUGGCAAGCGUUAUCCGGAAUUAUUGGGCGUAAAGCGCGCGCAGGUGGUUUCUUAAGUCUGAUGUGAAAGCCCACGGCUCAACCGUGGAGGGUCAUUGGAAACUGGGAGACUUGAGUGCAGAAGAGGAAAGUGGAAUUCCAUGUGUAGCGGUGAAAUGCGUAGAGAUAUGGAGGAACACCAGUGGCGAAGGCGACUUUCUGGUCUGUAACUGACACUGAGGCGCGAAAGCGUGGGGAGCAAACAGGAUUAGAUACCUUGGUAGUCC